rnacentral:tRNA from 1 species
GGGCGAAUAGCUCAGUUGGGAGAGCGCUUCCCUUACAAGGAAGAUGUCGGGGGUUCAAGUCCCUCUUCGCCCACCA